CCCAUUUUCUCAUUCCACUCCUCCCUGCUUCUCUCUCUCUUUCAACACAAAACACAAAUGGCGAUUCUUGUACCCUUCUAGACUCAACGCCACAGCAACACUUGCAGUUUCUUCAACAUAUAGGCAAGGAGUCAAGCACCUCCCUAGCAGAAAGAUUAAAAAAGAAAUUAACAGUUCCAAGAAGUACGCAGUUCUAGAUAUUUUUCUGAUUUAUCUAGUGAAUGGUUCGGGUUCGUUCCUAAUGGUCAUUCUAUCUCGAAGACCAUCACUGAUACCUUCAUGGAGCGACAAGAUGCUACUGGUUACACAUGGAAGGUUGUCUGCCAAUCCACUCGUGACUUCUAUUGGCAUGAAUUUAUGAAAUUAUAUCAUUGGAGUUCUGCUGAGGAUGCCAUAAUCAAACAUACUUGGAAAAAAGUGGCAUCUACCUUGUACACUAAAAAGCGGCACAAGUGGUAGAAAUUUACAACCAGACCUACUUUUAUUAAAGAGCAUAUAUGGGAAAGCUGGCAGGCACACUGGUCAUCGGAAAAGUGGCUUGAAAAAUCUCGUGUCGCCAUUCAAAAUCGGUGUAGCAAGACUGGUGGUCCAGGCACUGGUCCAAGCAAGCAUACCGGUUGUUCUAGGUCUACAGUGGAGCAUACUAUAAAAUUGGCAAUAGAAUUACAUCGUCCAGCAAAUUCAUGGGAUAUAUUUAAGAAGCUGCAUAAAAGAAAGGAUGGGAACUUUGUGGAUACCAAGUCUAAGACUGUUGGUGUAAGUUUCUUUUAUAAUAUUUCAUCAUUUUAUUUGAGAAUGAAUAUGAGGAAUAUUACUGGUGCAAUCCACUUAUCUGAAAGCUUCUUCACAUCAUCUCAUUUCUUGUUUAAUUAGCAUUUCAUUUCUUGUUCUGAUGCAGA